rnacentral:rRNA from 1 species
UACAGAGGGGGCAAGCGUUGUUCGGAAUUACUGGGCGUAAAGGGCGCGUAGGCGGCCUGCUAAGUCGAACGUGAAAUCCCCGGGCUCAACCCGGGAACUGCGUCCGAUACUGGCAGGCUUGAAUCCGGGAGAGGGAUGCGGAAUUCCAGGUGUAGCGGUGAAAUGCGUAGAUAUCUGGAGGAACACCGGUGGCGAAGGCGGCAUCCUGGACCGGCAUUGACGCUGAGACGCGAAAGCCAGGGGAGCGAACGGG